rnacentral:rRNA from 1 species
GAUGAACGCUGGCGGCGUGCUUAACACAUGCAAGUCGAACGGAAAGGCCCUGCUUUUGUGGGGCGCUUGAGUGGCGAACGGGUGAGUAACACGCGAGUAACCUGCCCUUGAAUUUGGGAUAACUUUAGGAAACUGGGGCUAAUACCGGAUAGGAGCUCCUGCUGCAUGGUGGUGGUUGGAAAGUUACGGCGGUUUUGGAUGGACGCGCGGCUUACCAGCUUGUUUGUGGGGUAGUUGCUUUACCAGGCUUUGAAGGGUAGCCGGCCUGAGAAGGUGACCGGCGACAUUGGGCCUGAGGUACGGCGCAGACUGGUACGGGAGGCAGCAGGGGGAAAUAUUGCACAAUGGGCGGAAGCCUGAUGCAGCAACGCCGCGUGCGGGAUAACGGCCUUCGGGUGGUAAACCUCUUUGUCCUGUGACGAGGCGUGAGUGACGGUAAUGAGUAAGGAAGCACCGGCUAACUACGUG